rnacentral:rRNA from 1 species
CCUACGGGUGAUAGCAGUGGGGGAUAUUGGACAAUGGGGGGAACCCUGAUCCAGCGACGCCGCGUGAGUGAAGAAGUAUUUCGGUAUGUAAAGCUCUGUCAGCAGGGAAGAAAGAAAUGACGGUACCUGACCAAGAAGCACCGGCUAACUACGUGACAGCAGCCGCGGUAAUACGUAGGGGGCAAGCGUUAUCCGGAUUUACUGGGGGUAAAGGGAGCGUAGACGGUUUAGUAAGUCUGGAGUGAAAGCCCGGGGCCCAACCCCGGGAAUGCUUUGGAAACGGUGUAACUGGAGUGCAGGAGGGGCAGGCGGAAUUCCUGGUGUAGCGGUGAAAUGCGUAGAUAUCAGGAGGAACACCGGCGGCGAAGGCGGCCUGCUGGACUGAAACUGACGUUGAGGCUCGAAAGCGUGGGGAGCAAACAGGAUUAGAUACCCCAGUAGUC